rnacentral:lncRNA from 13 species
AUGUUAGUUCAUUUCAUGUGUGUGUGUGUGUCUGUGUGUGUACAUACUCUCUCCACCACUAUAUCCAUAGUCAUACUCCUCGUACCAUGGGCUUUCAUAGGUAGGUGGUGGUGUAAUAGAAUCCUCUGUAUCAGAGGGAGAAAACACAACGUUAGAACAGUCUUAGUAUACUGUAUCAGAGGGAGAAACACAACGUUAGAACAGUAUACUGUAUCAGAGGGAGAAAACACAACGUUAGAACAGUAUACUGUAUCAGAGGGAUAAAACACAACGUUAGAACAGUCUUAGUAUACUGUAUCAGAGGGAUAAAACACAACGUUAGAACAGUCUUAGUAUACUGUAUCAGAGGG